rnacentral:rRNA from 1 species
UACGGAGGGUGCAAGCGUUAUCCGGAUUCACUGGGUUUAAAGGGUGCGUAGGUGGGCAGGUAAGUCAGUGGUGAAAUCCCCGAGCUUAACUUGGGAACUGCCGUUGAUACUAUCUGUCUUGAAUAUCGUGGAGGUAAGCGGAAUAUGUCAUGUAGCGGUGAAAUGCAUAGAGAUGACAUAGAACACCAAUUGCGAAGGCAGCUUGCUACACGGUAAUUGACACUGAGGCACGAAAGCGUGGGGAGCAAACGGG